rnacentral:misc_RNA from 1 species
AAAAUGCGAUAAGUAGCGUGAAUUGCAGACGCUUUGAACGUUAAACCUUCGAACGCACAUUGCGCCAUAGGAGUCUUACCCUAUGGCAUAUCUGGUUGAGGGUCGAGAUCAAACACAGCUAAGCAUGAGCUGUAUUAGUGCUAAUUGAUGAAUCAUCAGGCCAGCAUACGCUUAUUGUUGGCGGUGUUUUGUCAUAAUGCUCUAAAGGGCACACCUUUCAAGGGUGCUUCCUUACCAUGCGGACGGGCUGCCUCGGACAGGAUAGGGGCCGGCCUCCAGGUAUCAUAAACGCCUUAGUGUAUACUUGGUUGGUUCGGACCGUCUCUCGGCUAGUACCGUACGUACCUGGUAGUAGAUUCGAUUUUGAUCGCUUUUCCGACCUCAACUCAGGUGUGAUUAC